GGGUGAGACCAGAUCUCCUGCACUCUUAACUGCUGUCUAUUAAAAAUUGAUCAUUCAUUGGAUGGACAGACUGCAUUUCAACAAUGGAGCAAAGUUUCAAGGGAGAGAAGGUGAGAUCAGAAGAGGCACCAUCUCCAGCACUCUCACACCUGUCUGUAAAAAGUGAUCAGUCAAUGGAUCGGCCAAUCGCAUUCAACAAUGAAACCCCUAGUUACAUUGGGUAUGAAAAUCGUAGACCAGAUGAGGCACCAUCUCCUGCAACCUCAUACUUCUCUUUAAAAAGCAACCAAUCAAUGGAUCGACCAAUUUCAUUCAAAGACAGAACACAGCCUUACAGUGUUAAACGUCCAGAUGAGUCACCAUCUCCAGCACCGUCAUUCCUGUCUGUAAAAAGUGAGCAGUCAAUGGACAGACCGAUCGUGUUCAGGGAUGAAACACAGAGUUACAGGCUCAGAAGGUACGGGAUUGCAUUGAGUAUUGUCAUGGAAAUUUUCAGUGCUAAUCUGACUUCACCACAGACAACUCAAACAGCUACAGCUGUUAAUAUUAUAACUAUUGUAACUCGGGCUAAUUACCUGAAUUCCUCUAAUACUUACAAUAUAAGUUUUCCUGAAGUAUGGUGACGGUGUCCCAUCAAGAAGCUACUACUGUAUCGCUAGCUCAAUCACACAUGAGCACACAGGUCUUUAGCAUCUAUACACUCUCACUCUAUGAUUAUUUAAUCAUAGGGACACAGUCUUUGAUCUGAGCAUUCUAAGUCUGCACUUUUCGGAACAUUCUAUGUUGAACAUACCCUUUUGACACCUUCUGAGGCCAUUACAUAAAAUAUUUGCAUCACAGUAUUUAUUGAAUAAUAAAGUUACAGUAUGUUAAUCCUUAAAAACUAAG
ensembl:lncRNA